rnacentral:lncRNA from 1 species
GCUACUUCCUACCUGGGUAAAUGGACCACAUACUGUUCGAGGAGAACCCUUCACAACACCCCUGAGAAAAACUGAGACUCUGAUACUGCAGGCAAGACAGCAGCUGCCUGGACACCUUCCAGAGGUGACUACUGGCUGAUUCCUCAAGCAUUGCAGUAUGAGACUCAGCAUUACCAUCUGAGGAAAUAAACAGCUCUCUCAGGCUCCACUCAAG